rnacentral:rRNA from 1 species
GAUGAACGCUGGCGGCGUGCCUAAUACAUGCAAGUCGAGCGAACAGAUGAGGAGCUUGCUCCUCUGACGUUAGCGGCGGACGGGUGAGUAACACGUGGAUAACCUACCUAUAAGACUGGGAUAACUUCGGGAAACCGGAGCUAAUACCGGAUAAUAUAUUGAACCGCAUGGUUCAAUAGUGAAAGACGGUUUUGCUUUCACUUAUAGAUGGAUCCGCGCCGCAUUAGCUAGUUGGUAAGGUAACGGCUUACCAAGGCAACGAUGCGUAGCCGACCUGAGAGGGUGAUCGGCCACACUGGAACUGAGACACGGUCCAGACUCCUACGGGAGGCAGCAGUAGGGAAUCUUCCGCAAUGGGCGAAAGCCUGACGGAGCAACGCCGCGUGAGUGAUGAAGGUCUUCGGAUCGUAAAACUCUGUUAUUAGGGAAGAACAAAUGUGUAAGUAACUAUGCACGUCUUGACGGUACCUAAUCAGAAAGCCACGGCUAACUACGUG